ensembl:lncRNA MUC20-OT1 MUC20 overlapping transcript
CUGCUGUGGCUGAGCCUUGGGGUGAAGACAGGCAGCUGCUCCCAACCCCAGAACCUUUGCUGUCUUGGGACGGAUCACCGCUGCAAGAGGGGAAGUUGCUACUGUGAUGAAUUCUGCCAUGUGGCACCAGACUGCCACCCAGACCACAGUGUCCUCUGCAACCCUGCUUCUCAGAUGACCAAGAUGGUGCUGCAGAUGGUGCUGAGGAUGGAGAACCCACCAAGCCCCGCUAGGAGCCACCUAGACUGGAUGCAGAGCAUGAUUUGAAGAUUGUACCAGGAGAGCCGCAGUGUUCCAGAGCUACUGAGGGGCUGGGCUGGGAUUUGCUGUAUUCGAGAAGACCCCCUUGGACCCGAGAGGCUGUGGGCUUGGGGAGCAUGAGGAGGUUUCACAGCAGAAAGGACACCCCGGGGCUCCUGGAUAAGCCAGAAAAUGUGCCAGGGGAAGUCGGGCUCCAAGGGCACCACUCUGGGCUUCCAGCUGUGUGGGCUGGACCAAGAAGG